ACUGGGAGAAAGCAUUGCUAUUAUGAGACCUAGCUAAGUUCCUGCAAGUUGCAGCAUUUCCUGCAAGUGAAAAUGCAGUUUCUUGCGACAUUACGUUGCAUUUAAAAUGGGAGGAGCCAGUGGAAUGGCUUUUUCUCUGAGAUCCCAUUGAUUUCUCAUUUCCUCUGGAAGAGGAGCUGAAUGGUUUGGGAUCUGGAAAAGCUGCACAGGCACUUGGAGAAGGGAAGAGGCAUGAAGGCUUCCUUGGACACAAACAGCUUCUGAGGGAGAAGACUGAGGGAGAAGCCUGCCCUGGCACUGUGGAGGCCUCUGGGCAGCCCCAUGGACUCUCCCCACCUCCUGCACGUGGGUUUCCUGCUCCUGGCUCUUGCUGCUCCCUGUCCAAGUAUUGCCAUGGCCAAUGCUGGCCCUGCUAACAGGACACAAGGCAGCAGAAAUACGACAGUCUACUACUGCAAGGACUAUAAAAACUGCACAUGCAAGAAAGACCAAAAUGAUUUUAAAAACUUUGAAAGAAUUACCAAAAUACAAAAGAAGAUAAAUACUAUUCCAGCAAAUGACCAACAAAUGACUCACAAAUCACACAUCACUGUUUGCUUUGAGCGAGCAAAUUCCUCUCUUGAAGGAAUUUAUGGCCUCUCCUCAUACGAAACUCAACAACCAAAAAUCUGGUGUGGCAUCCUGAAUUUUGGAGAAAAUGGAGGAGGUAACAUCAGUACUGAGGAGAAGAAUGUUUGCUGUGAAGCAGAGGCAGUUGUCUGGAAUCACAACCCUCACCUGAAGUGCUACAUUCAAAAGUCACAUCCAAAAUCCACUGCACUGCCAGUUGCCAUUCCUGGUGAGGGAAUUCCAGAUGGGGCCAGUUCCUUUGUGUGGUGCUUACGAGACAGCUCAUGGCUUAGCCCUCCUGCUUGCUUCACUUGGAUGCUCUGUUUUCUUCUACUCUGCAGGUAAUCCUGAAUUUCUCACCAGCAAAAAGAGCAGCCUUGAAAUCUUGUUGGCAUUCCUGUUUGUUGGGGUUUGCACAGGAUGGGGCACCAUGUUUUACUUCUUGCGGCUGCGGCGUCGCCAAGCUUUUAAGCAAGACAGACAGGCUUCUGACAGAGAAAAGCUCACCCAUUCGUGAUAACCAUCUACAAAGGAGAAAACCUCUCUGCCAGCAGCAUCCUCCUCCUCUCUCAUGAUGUACAGCAACCAGCGGAAUGCAGACUGAUUUUCCAUGAGAACUCCUGUGUUGGGGAAGAUGAAAUAGGAAAGCCUUAUAAAUAUGAUUGCCUGGCAAAAGAUUCGGAAAAUACAGAAACUAUGAAUGAGAUUGAGAUGAGAACUAGUUUUGAGAUACCAAAUCUUAGUUACUGAACAACUAGAAACCAAUAGAUUAGCCAGCUGUAGGCAAUCCCCCCUUUGAUUAAACAAUGUCCUCUACCUACAGACAGCUCCAAAGGUCAAAUGGAAUGUUCUGUCUCACCCCUCAAAAUGUAUGGCUCAUCCCACACCUGUAACCCUCCCCUGAAGCAUCAGGUAUCUGUGAUCCCAUUGGCCCAAGUCUUGUUCCGUGCCCACUCUGAAACCCCUGAUAAGGUGUGCCCGGGGGACCCGAGGCUCUCUUGGAACCCUCUCUUGGCAUCGUCUCCUGCCCCCACUGCCUCUCUUUCUCCCUCCCUGUCUCUCCCUGCCCUCACUCCCUGGGGCCUGACACGAACUGCAGCUGGCAGCUCCAAACAGGGCCCCACACCCUUUCCAGGACCUGAC